GUCGUGGCCGACGCUGGUCAAAGUGUGGUGUCUAUUCUUAUCAGCUUGAUAUCUGAUACGGGUCCUGUUUAGACACAAGAUAUUAAACUUAUUUUUGCAAAUUGGCGGAGUGGUUAAAGCCUGCUUCACCUCCGCUGCGCAUCGGCCCGGUAUUGCACUAUCUCCGAGAUCGCCGCACGGUUU